GUGAGGAAUAUUGGUCAAUGGGCGGGAGCCUGAACCAGCCAAGUCGCGUGAAGGAAGAAGGAUCUAUGGUUCGUAAACUUCUUUUGCAGGGGAAUAAAGUGCAGGACGUGUCCUGUUUUGUAUGUACCCUGAGAAUAAGGAUCGGCUAACUCCGUGCCAGCAGCCGCGGUAAUACGGAGGAUCCGAGCGUUAUCCGGAUUUAUUGGGUUUAAAGGGUGCGUAGGUGGUUUGAUAAGUCAGCGGUGAAAGUUUGCAGCUUAACUGUAAAAAUGCCGUUGAAACUGUCGGACUUGAGUGUAAAUGAGGUAGGCGGAAUGCGUGGUGUAGCGAUGAAAUGCAUAGAUAUCACGCAGAACUCCGAUUGCGAAGGCAGCUUACUAAGCUACAACUGACACUGAAGCACGAAAGCGUGGGGAUCAAACAGGAUUAGAUACCCGAGUAGUCC
rnacentral:rRNA from 1 species